rnacentral:rRNA from 1 species
GAUGAACGCUGGCGGCGUGCCUAAUACAUGCAAGUCGAGCGAACAGACGAGGAGCUUGCUCCUUUGACGUUAGCGGCGGACGGGUGAGUAACACGUAGGUAACCUACCUAUAAGACUGGGCUAACUUCGGGAAACCGGAGCUAAUACCGGAUAAUAUUUCGAACCGCAUGGUUCGAUAGUGAAAGAUGGCUUUGCUAUCACUUAUAGAUGUACCUGCGCCGUAUUAGCUAGUUGGUAAGGUAACGGCUUACCAAGGCAACGAUACGUAGCCGACGUGAGAGGGUGGUAGGCGACACUGGAACUGAGACACGGUCCAGACUCCUAAGGGAGGCAGCAGUAGGGAAUCUUCCGCAAUGGGCGAAAGCCUGACGGAGCAACGCCGCGUGAGUGAUGAAGGUCUUCGGAUCGUAAAACUCUGUUAUUAGGGAAGAACAAACGUGUAAGUAACUGUGCACGUCUUGACGGUACCUAAUCAGAAAGCCACGGCUAACUACGUG